rnacentral:lncRNA from 1 species
UUACAGCUGCACUCUCUAGCAAAUGGUGAGCUCAUGCUCUGGCGUAAGGAUUUUACUGGAACCACUUACACUUAUAUUACAAAGUUAACUUUGAGCUGCUAUAGAAAGUUCACUCUGAGGUGAGGCUUGUAAUUACAUUAAAUUAACGACUGAUUACUUUCUAUUUUCAAACUGUUUCAAUCUUCAUUUAUACCUGCUCUAUUGUUACGUUUCAUUUUCUUACACGCACACACGUCGUUCCGACUGGUUCCCCUCCCACUCCUGUCAGUUGUCAGUUUCGAAGCAAAAUUAACGUGGUUUUGAGAAGACUCUAACCGCAAUUAGCAAACCGAUUCAUUUCGGUUGUUAUGUUUAAACUUUGAAGCAAAUAAAAUGUUAUUAUUAGUCGUCGUUGUAGAAAUAGUAAAUCGUUUGACUGAAUGUUUUAAGCAACGGUCCUCUGAAUUCGAAGUCUUCCUUUCGCCCGUUUGACGUGGAUGAAAUUAACCACCAACAUACCUGAAGUCCAUUCAGUCGUUUAGGACCCUGAACUACAUCAGUUGACUUAAUGCUUAACUAUAAAACCAUUCACAUAUAUAUAUAUAUACAUACAUACAUACAAUCACACACACAUACACACACACACACACACAUAUAUAUUUAUAUAUAUAUAAAAUUCGGUAUAUAAAAUCUGUACACUACUUCAAACAAUCUAUACAUUUGUAUAUAUACAAUUUCCUUUUAGAACUAUUCCACUUUAUAAACACUGUCAAAGUGUUUAUGAAACUCUGAGAUAUCACGUUUUCCCGUUUAAUGCUUAAAUUAUCACUUCUUGAGAAGACACUGAUAUAGCAGAAAUUGUAGUUGUCUGACAGAAUGCCUUGCGGUAUUUAGUUGCAACUCUCUAUGUGAUAAGUUCGAAUCCCAUUGAAAUUGACUUUGUCUUUCAUCUUCCGGUAUCGAUAAAAUUAAGUAUUAGUUAUUGUUCUUUAGCCUUAGUCCACUCCAGUCGAGCAGAUCUAUGGUGAAAAGUGGUCUAGCCAUGACAGUCCGCUGUCUUACUUAUUUAGGACUACCUUGUCAUAUGUGUUCUUCAAUUUUCAGGACGGUAGGAUGUAAUUUGACUGCUAUUUCUAACACCUCGAGUGACCAUUUGAGGCUUUUUUCGUAAACAUGAAGUCAAUCUAAUAAACUAUAUCCACCCAUCAAACGGCACUGCGCUCAUACUAAAAAGCAAUUUUAUGUUGUCGUAGAAAUGGCAGUGCAUUAGCAGAAUGGUAAGAGCUUUCGGACAAAAUUCCUUUCUAAUCUGAGGUCAAUUCAUCAUUUAUCCUCUGAGGUCGAUAAAAUAAGGUACUGGGGUUGAUUUAAUCGACUACGUACACCUCAAUUAAUUUCAGGACUUGUGCCUAUAUUAGUCUCUAUUCGUAAAAACAUUGUUGGCUUUUUGCCUAAAUUAAAACGUCUAUUAUUUUUAAUAGUAGUUUUGAUAAAUUAUCCACUUCUUUAUUUUAAUACAUGUUAUAUCAAUCACAUGCUCUGUUACACGACAGAGACGGCAUGUUGGUUUCAGUUCCUACCCUAAAUUUGGUAGUUCUCCCAAUUUUCGGUUAAUCGCCUAUUUUUAUCUCUCUGCCACUGCCCCCCCCUCUCUCUCUCUCUAUAUAUAUAUUUAUAUAUAUAUAUAUAUAUAUGUAUGUACACACACACACACAAUACGUGUGUACGCUCAAAUAUAUAUGAUUUUUUUUUGUUUCGCUUUGGUCAAUUAUAUUUGGCCCUAGUACUUAUUUCAGAUUGGCAUUUAUUCUAUGUAUUUCUACUUCAUGAACAAAUAAAUUGUUGUAAAAAGACAUGACAUACAUUCACCACACAUAUACCAAUACGAUGAGUUUCUGCCUAGUUUCUGUAUACCAAAUUCUCCUCAACACUAUCUUGAUUAACCCAAAGCUAAAGUUAUGUCUCAAUGAAAUCGAACACAGAACCACAUGGGUGUGAAGUAAGCUUGUUAACCACUCAACCAUGGUCUAUGAAAAAUAUAUGAAUGUAAUAUUGUCCAGACUAAAUGCUUGGCAGCUUUAAUUCUACUGAGGUCAACUUUGCCUUUCAUCCUUUUGGGGUUGAUGAAAUAAGUUGUACCAGUUGUGCAUUGACUAUCCCACCUUCCCAAAAUUUCAGGCCUUGUGCCUAUUGCAGAAAGGAUUAUAUUUGGUUGUUGGUAUGGCCAAGUGGUUAAGAAGUUCACGUUGCAGUUGUGAGAAAGGUAUAACAUUGUCAUAAACUGUGCUACCCCGGUUCUGUAGUAAGAGCACAUAUGUCUAGAAUGCUUAGCCACUUGUUAAAUCAGGAGCUGGUUAUUCUGUUGGUUAAGUGACUGAAUUCUCGUUGUUAAAGUAUGGAAGCCCAUCCCAGGAAGCUGUUGGACGAAGUGGUGAGAAAAGAUCUUACAGAGGUUGAAACUCACAGAGGGGAUGACGGGGGACCAAGACUCCUGGCAGUUUCCUUUGCUUGAAAAUACACAUCAAGUUAAGUAAAGGUGUGAUUAGGUUCAUCCCUUGCAACCCUCUCUAGCUGAGCAUCCUUAAUCUUGCAGGCUUGUAGGUGCUGGUGCAACAUAAAAAAGUACCCAUGCCGGUGAUAUGUAAAAGCACUCAGUACACUCUCUAAAGUGGUUGGCAUUAGGAAAGGUAUCCAGCCGUAGAAACCUUGUCAAAACAGACGGGCCCUGAACAGCUCUUCAGCUGGUCAGCUCCUGUGAAACCGUCCAACUCAUACCAGCAUGGAAAAUGGACGUCAAAUGAUGAUGACGAUGAUAUGUAUAUUGAUAUAUAUAUACGGAGUGGUUGGCGUUAGGAAGGGCAUCCAGCUGUAGAAACACUGCCAGAUCUGACUGGAGCCUGGUGCAGCCCCGUGGCUUCCCAGACCCCGGUCGAACAGUCCAACCCAUGCUAGCAUGGAAAGUGGACGUUAAACAAUGAUGAUGAUGAUGAUAUAUAUAUAUUUUGGAGAUGUACUUGCAUAGCAAGUGACCUAAUCUGAGAUCGUGUGCUGAAACAAAAGCAAUUGCAGCAUGGAAGGUGUUUAUAAGCCAUUUAAAAACACAAAAAUCGUUAGAUUCACUUCAAGUAUGGAAUUUUAUCAGUGAACAGGUCAUGGUCUCAAAGCAACAAAAAUAUUUUGGCAAAUUAAAUAUAAAUGUCGAAGUAAAUCUAACAGUUUUUGUUUUUUAAAUGGCUUAUAAACACCUUCCACACUGCGACAUACAUAUAUAUAUAUAUUGUAUGUAUGUACAUACACAGAUCUAAUUAUAUAUUAUCGGAUGGAUAACAUUUGUAAUAUAAAUUAUAUAAGACAUAUAUUUAUUGUCAUCAUUAUCAUCAUACUUGUGUCUUUCUGUGGUGGCAUGUGUUGGACAGAUCUGCUCCAACUGGGCAUCUUGUCACAUGUUGCAGUCACUUAUCAUCCCCCUGGUCAGUUUUAGCAUUCUAAGAUCAUCUUUCAUUACCCCUUCCCAUGUCAUCCUCAAUCUUUGUCUUCUACGGACAUCUACUUGAAUUAUUUUGGCCCCUUUUCACCCAACUGUCAUGUUUCACAUGUAUAUACCUGUGCAGCCUUCUCUCUUGCACAACACAACUGAUUCCUCUAAAUAUAGAAAUAUAUUUGUCUCUUUCAGGUGUCUUAGAGUUUGUUGAACUUUUUUCUGAAGAAUAACUGCAAGGAAACAGAAAGAAAGAAAUUAACCAAAAUGUUUGAAGACUGGGAUUGGAAUGAGAUGGUAGGGAGAUUGAUCAGGUGGGCUGCAACAAGCCCAUGGGAAUUCAUCUACUACGUGCUCUUGUGUUUGUCUCCGUUUUUCUUUGUCAGUGCCAUCUUGGCAUGGCAGCUUGCCAAACAAAUAGAACACAAGGAAAAGAGAAAGAAGAAGACAAAUAAAAAAGAGUCUAAUGUUGCAAAGACUCGACGACAAAAAGCUGACUGAACCUCCCAAAGCACCACCCACACUCCCACACGCCUACAAAUAUAAGUUUUUGUAAAUUACAUAUAUAUAUAUAUAUGUUUAUACACAUACAUUAAAUGCUUAAUAAUUAUUUAAAUAUAUAUAUGAUAUAUGUGUGUAUAUACAGAUACAUAUGUAAGUUAUAAUGUUUAAUAUUAUACAUGCAUGUAUAUAUAUAUAUAUAUGAAUAAAAGUUUUGUGAAAUAGGGAGGUAUCUUUUAUUUAUAAACAGAUUUGGAAAGUUUGGAUUUUCCUAAGGAAAGGAGAUAGAAUAUUGCUCAACUCCUUUUAUUUUGUUCUUUAUGUUGUUGUCUAGUGUCGGAAAAUUCAGACUUUUUAUAUGUGUAUAUAAAUAAAUGAAGAAGAGAUAUCUCCAUUACAUCUAAUUUUUCUAUCAAUUUUUUGAAACAUUGUAGUGCACCUGAGCACUAUAUACAAUAAGAUCAUGAUAUACAAAUACACACAUGCAAGCAAGCACACACACACACACAUAAUAGAUGGAUUAUCCUUCUGUUACAUUACAGCUAAAAGAUUCACCAUUUGCAGAUCAUCUGAUAAUGAACCAAAUCCAUUUUUUCUAUGUUCAAUGCUCAAAUGUGUAUGUUUGUGUUUAUAUAUAUAUAUACAUAUAUAUAUAUAUAUAUAUCUUGUGCUUGGUACAUGUCAAGGCUCUGUCCAGGAGUUACAAAUCUCAAAUCAAGAAUGCUGAUCUAUCAGGAGACAAUUGGAAUAAUGGUGAGACUGGGCAUCAGUAUGGUCGAGCCUUUGCAGAAGCUUAAAAACCAAUAAUUUGUCUCAGUCUAUUCAGAAACUCAACAGCAAUAGCACAAAAUACACAGCAAACAAACAACUAGAAAUCAAGAAAUUUUUUGUUGUAUGUGUCCUCGUUACCAUUUUCAGCACCGUGCAUGCAUGUGUCUAAAUAUGUAUGUGCAAUAUGUAUAUAUGUAAUGUAUGUAUGCAUAAUAUUUAUGUUUACAUGUCAUAUAUAUUAUUGAUGCAUGCUAAUAUAUUGGUUUUAACAAAUGGGAAAAGAAAAAUUCUCAGUACUUGAGUAGAAUGUAACAGUAUAUUACUUAGGAUGAUCCAAUGGCCUGUUUCUCUAGAAUUACCUUAACUGUAGCCAGUUCCUCUGAUAGUUGUAGAAUGAUUCAGUCUUUUAUCUGUUGAAGAAACUGGCUACAUAUUGGAUAUACUCCAGGGCAAUGAGUAACUGGAUCAGUGUAAAUAAGCUAUAUAUAUAUAUAUAUAUAUAUAUAUAUAUAUAUAUAGUGUGUGGUUAAGUUAAAUUUAAGCCUUCUCUAUAUGUACAAACUUAUGUAAAGAACUACUGAAAUCUUGUUUAUGUCUCAAUUAUAUCUGAAACAAAUUUCAUGGAUGCAUCUCUUUUAUAUGAUAUAUUAAAUGUUUUUUUUUUAUUGUGAGAGUGAUGGGGGAGGGGGCCUUUGUUAACUCCCCCACCUUAGCUUACCUUUCCUCAUAUUGAAAGUCAACUUCUGCAAAGCUGUCCAAUGAGUUUUGAAGAUACGGCGUUUCUUUCCUUGAUCUUUUGGAUUUUAUUUUUAAUACUGACCUACUGGCCAAGCAAACUAGAUUAAUUUAUUGAUUGGUUAAAACUGUUUCACCUGUGACUUAUGUUUUUUUCAUCAUCAUCCCCAUCAUUUUAACUUAAGGUUGGUGAAGUAUGCACCAGUCAAGUACUGGGUUAUUUAAUUUGCCACCUUGUGCCUACAUUAGAAAAAAUUAUUGUUGUUAUUAUUAUUAUUAUUACUACUAAGGUGGCGAGGUGGCAGAGUUGUUAGCAUGCUGGGUGAAAUGCUUAUCAGUAUUUCGUCUCCUGCAACAUUCUGAGUUCAAAUUCUGCCAAGGUCGACUUUGCCUUUCAUCCUUUCAGGGUUGAUAAAGUAAGGACCAGUGGAGUAUUGGGAUCAAUGUAAUCUAUUAGUCUCCUCCCCCAAAAUUUCAGGCCUCAUGCCUUUAGUAGAAACAAUUAUUAUUAUUAUUAUUAUUAUUAAGGUGGUAAGCUGGUAGAAUCAUUUGUGUAUUGGAUAAAAUGUUAAGUGGCAUUUCUUCCAGUUUUUAUGUUCAGGGUUCAUCCUUUCAGGGUUAAUAAAAUAAGUACCUGUUG